rfam:Medicago truncatula strain A17 chromosome 1, whole genome shotgun sequence.
CAAAUCAUAUAGGCAUUUGCUAGAAUACACUCACUUAUUUUUUAGAAGGAGUAUUUUAGCAAGUGAAUAACUAAAAAGUGG